UAUGUGAUCGUCUCUCGCAUAUCAAUAAGCGGAGGAAAAGAAACUAACAAGGAUUCCCCUAGUAACGGCGAGUGAAGCGGGAAGAGCUCAAAUUUGAAAUCUUAAAGGGUUUCCCUUUACGAAUUGUAGUUUAAAGAAGUGUUUUCUGUUGAGGUUUUGGUAAAAGUUCUUUGGAAUAGGACAUCAUAGAGGGUGAGAAUCCCGUAUUUGACCUUUACUUUCAACUUUGUGAUACACUUUCAAAGAGUCGGAUUGUUUGGGAAUGCAGUCCAAAAUGGGUGGUAAAUUUCAUCUAAAGCUAAAUAUUGGCGAGAGACCGAUAGCGAACAAGUACCGUGAGGGAAAGAUGAAAAGAACUUUGAAACGAGAGUUAAACAGUACGUGAAAUUGUCAAAAGGGAAGCGUUUGACACCAGUGUUGUUUUUCUGAAAAUCAAUUAAAGAACUGUUUAUGCUAAGUUGUUUAGACUUUAUCAGCUAACUGUUUAGUUUUGAGCUUUUCUUUAAUGCACUUUUCAGUUAACAAGUCAACAUCAAUUUCUUUUGCUGUAAAAAAGCUUGAGGAAGGUGGCUUGAGAUUCGUCUUAAGUGUUUAUAGCCUCUUGCCUAUGCAGUCGGAGAGAUUGAGGUCUGCAGCGUAGAUCCUUCGGGGCUAAAUGCAUUUGUGCUAAGUUAUAACAUUUUAUAGACAACUUGUUGACUAUGAUUUGUCUUGUAGCUUACUCGCUUAUGUUAUUUUACCUACGCUUAGGAUGUUGACACACGCGCGUGCUCGAUCUAUACAUGACUCUGUGCAUAUCAAUAAGCGGAGGAAAAGUCAACUACCUACGCUUAGGAUGUUGAUAUGCAUGACUGAUAU
rnacentral:rRNA from 1 species